UGAGGAAAUGGCUCCAUUAUAUUGGCC
rnacentral:piRNA from 1 species